CAGUCGCCACGGUAAUACGAAGGGUGCAAGCGUUACUCGGAAUUACUGGGCGUAAAGCGUGCGUAGGUGGUGGUUUAAGUCCGUUGUGAAAGCCCUGGGCUCAACCUGGGAAUUGCAGUGGAUACUGGGUCACUAGAGUGUGGUAGAGGAUAGUGGAAUUUCCGGUGUAGCAGUGAAAUGCGUAGAGAUCGGAAGGAACAUCUGUGGCGAAGGCGACUAUCUGGGCCAACACUGACACUGAGAGACGAAAGCUAGGGGAGCAAAUGGGAUUAGAUACCCGCGUAGUCCCUGUCUCUUAUAC
rnacentral:rRNA from 1 species